rnacentral:miRNA from 1 species
CAUGCAACCUCAGUUGGAGUCGGA